rnacentral:misc_RNA from 1 species
UCCGGUUUGUCACCGGCAGUCACCUUAGAGUGCCCAACUGAAUGCUGGCAACUAAGAUCAAGGGUUGCGCUCGUUGCGGGACUUAACCCAACAUCUCACGACACGAGCUGACGACAACCAUGCACCACCUGUCACUUUGUCCCCCGAAGGGGAAAGCUUGAUCUCUCAAGUGGUCAAAGGAUGUCAAGACCUGGUAAGGUUCUUCGCGUUGCAUCGAAUUAAGCCACAUGCUCCACCGCUUGUGCGGGCCCCCGUCAAUUCCUUUGAGUUUCAUCGUUGCCGACGUACUCCCCAGGUGGCAUACUUACUGCGUUAACUGCGGCACCGGCCCCAACGGGCCAACACCUAGUAUGCAUCGUUUACAGCGUGGACUAC